GACGAACGCUGGCGGCGUGCUUAACACAUGCAAGUCGAACGGAAAGGCCCUGCUUUUGUGGGCUGCUCGAGUGGCGAACGGGUGAGUAACACUUGAGUAACCUGCCCUUGACUUUGGGAUAACUUCAGGAAACUGGGGCUAAUACCGGAUAGGAUCUCCUGCUGCAUGGUGGGGGUUGGAAAGUUUCGGUGGUUGGGGAGGGACUCGCGUCUUAUCAGCUUGUUCGUGUGGUAGUGGCUUACCAAGGCUUUGAGGGGUAGCCGGCCUGAGAGGGUGAGCGGCCCAAUUGGGAUUGAGAUGCGACACGGACUCCUACGGGACGCAGCGGUGGGGAAUAGUGCAAAAUGCGCGGAACCCUGAUGCAGCAACGCCGCGUGGGGGAUGACGGCCUUCGGGUUGUAAACCGCUUUCGCCUGUGACGAAGCGUGAGUGACGGUAAUGGGUAAAGAAGCACCGGCUAACUACGUG
rnacentral:rRNA from 1 species